rnacentral:rRNA from 1 species
CAGUAGCCGCGGGAAUACGGAGGGUGCGAGCGUUAAUCGGAAUAACUGGGCGUAAAGGGCACGCAGGCGGUUAUUUAAGUGAGGUGUGAAAGCCCCGGGCUUAACCUGGGAAUUGCAUUUCAGACUGGGUAACUAGAGUACUUUAGGGAGGGGUAGAAUUCCACGUGUAGCGGUGAAAUGCGUAGAGAUGUGGAGGAAUACCGAAGGCGAAGGCAGCCCCUUGGGAAUGUACUGACGCUCAUGUGCGAAAGCGUGGGGAGCAAACAGGAUUAGAUACCCGCGUAGUCCCUGUCUCUUAUAC